UACGUAGGUGGCAAGCGUUGUCCGGAAUUAUUGGGCGUAAAGCGCGCGCAGGCGGUCUUUUCAGUCUGAUGUGAAAGCCCAGGGCUCAACCGGGGAGGGUCAUUGGAUACUGAGGGACUUGAGUGCAGAAGAGGAAAGUGGAAUUCCACGUGUAGCGGUGAAAUGCGUAGAGAUGUGGAGGAACACCAGUGGCGAAGGCGACUUUCUGGUCUGUAACUGACGCUGAGGCGCGAAAGCGUGGGGAGCAAACAGG
rnacentral:misc_RNA from 1 species